rnacentral:lncRNA from 1 species
AAGAUCAUUAACUGAUGCGCAUUAGCUAGUUGAUACAUUUGUCUUUUAAAAUACAACUGACAUAUAAGGAUCGUAAUGGUGCAAUGUGGAUAAAUUUAUCGGUUUCCGAGAGCAAAAUUGGCGUAAUGGGGAGAUAAUUUUGACGAAGUAGAAUCCUGACUGCAAGGUCGCCAAAUCAGUCAGGAUUCUACUUCGUCAAAAUUAUCUCCCCAUUACACCAGUUCAUUUUCUCAAUCG